GUCUUGAGGGAGCAGCACGCUUGCCUGAUGGGUGCCCAAAGCCAGGGGCAGGUGGAGGUGAGAGAAGGACAAGCUCUGCAAACGUUGCGGAAGCGCUCUGUCCAUGGAGAAGGCACAGGACUUCCAUGUGGGGAGCAGCUUACUCCUGCUGAGAACUUUGGGGAGACAGAGUGGAGCAGCCAUCUCAGACCUGAGCGGCUAAGGAGCUGGGUCCCCCUCUGUCGCACUGUGCAGAGCUGCUGGACUUUGCAGUAAGCAGCCUUCAGGUCUAAAGGGAACACAGAAGGAACAAAUGGAAGCACAGUUCAU
rnacentral:lncRNA from 10 species